rnacentral:lncRNA from 1 species
AAGCAGCUGUCCCUGCUUUUGGAUUCUGUGUCCUUUUGUUUUGUGCCUGAACUCAGCCAGGAGCUCUCCUUUUUAUCUGUGCUGGCCUUGCUGGAUUUCUGCAAACUGUUCUUGUGCUCUGAUAAGGCUGACCUUGAACUUUAGCCAGCUCUCUUUGCCCUGGCAAGCAGUUUCCCAUGGGAUCCUUCCAAGCAGGUCCCUGCAGAGGCUGAAAUCUUCUCUUUGCAUUCAAGGACUGCAAUACUGUUGAUCCUACUCAUUCCUCUUGGUAUCUUGAGCAUCUGGAUUUCCUCUGACCCAUUAAAUUGACCAGCAGACAACAGAGGCACAUGAGAGACAGCUCCUGUGAGAGUGAGACUUUUCCCAGCUGCCCUAGGAAGGUUUUAUCUGCCCCUCCUUCUUGAUUAUCAGCCUGAUAUUUACCUGGAGCACUGAAUAACUGCUUUUGCUCAACAGUAGGGUUGAGAAAUGCAUCCCCUGGGCCCCCCAUCUUUCACCCUUCCAACAGGGUGUCCUGCUCUUUGGUACAGCACACACAGGCCUUGUGUGCUUAUUUAAUUCUGAGUUUGAAGAGCCAGAUGCAAAGAGAAGUGGAGGGAGUACUUUGAAGAAUAAGAACAGGAUCUCUUAUGGCAGCUUUCUUGCAUGGUACUAUUUGCUGCUGCAGAAAUGAGAAAGUAUUCCUCCUGGCAGAAGAAGCAUGGCAUAUGGCAUCAGGAAUUUGAAACAUCUCUGCAAGACCAGAGGCAGGAAUACAAGUGUAUCCCACAGAUGUGCCCUGACCACUUGAGCCUACUCAUCUGCUGACAUCUGUUGAAUGUGGCCCUGAGCUCACAGACCCUCUUCUUGAGAUUUGUAACAAAGGUGGUUAAAAUUUAAAAAUAAAAAAAUCCCAAACAAUCCUAAACA